rnacentral:rRNA from 1 species
UACGUAGGGUGCAAACGUUGCUCGGAAUCAUUGGGCGUAAAGCGCACGUAGGCGGACCGCUAAGUCGGAUGUGAAAGCCCUCGGCUUAACCGAGGAAGUGCAUUCGAAACUGACAGUCUUGAGUAUGGAAGAGGGUCGCGGAAUUCCCGGUGUAGAGGUGAAAUUCGUAGAUAUCGGGAGGAACACCAGUGGCGAAGGCGGCGACCUGGGCCAAUACUGACGCUGAGGUGCGAAAGCGUGGGGAGCAAACGGG